UAGGGAAUCUUCGGCAAUGGACGAAAGUCUGACCGAGCAACGCCGCGUGAGUGAAGAAGGUUUUCGGAUCGUAAAACUCUGUUGUUAGAGAAGAACAAGGACGUUAGUAACUGAACGUCCCCUGACGGUAUCUAACCAGAAAGCCACGGCUAACUACGUGCCAGCAGCCGCGGUAAUACGUAGGUGGCAAGCGUUGUCCGGAUUUAUUGGGCGUAAAGCGAGCGCAGGCGGUUUCUUAAGUCUGAUGUGAAAGCCCCCGGCUCAACCGGGGAGUGUCAUUGGAAACUGGGAGACUUGAGUGCAGAAGAGGAGAGUGGAAUUCCAUGUGUAGCGGUGAAAUGCGUAGAUAUAUGGAGGAACACCAGUGGCGAAGGCGGCUCUCUGGUCUGUAACUGACGCUGAGGCUCGAAAGCGUGGGGAGAAAACAGG
rnacentral:rRNA from 1 species